GCCUGUGUCACACAGAUUGCCAGGGAGCCUGCACUGCCUUGUCCACCCAUUAGGGUCUCUCGCACUCAGGUUGCAGUUUUUGGCUAUCUGGAUGACAAAGAUCAUUUGCAUAAGUUUUCUUAACGAAGGACAGAGCACUGUGCCUCAGCGUGGAUCAGCAAAGAAAGUCUGAUGAUUCAACAUGUAGUCGGUUGCUCUCACGUUCACACCAAAGGUACCGAACUUAUAUGGAAGACCCUAAGUGGUAAGACCCAUGCCUACUGGAAAUGGAAUCUUCUGCUUCUGGGAACAACUCUGCUCCACAAACAGGAUGCAAUUGUCACUGCGGUUGGAAGCCAAUCAACGCGUUGUGAGUGGGAGCCCGCUGGUACUUUCCAAUGGUCCUUGAUUAAAAAGGAAGCUCUUGGCUAUCUUCAAGCAGCAGGAGAGGAAACAGCAUGGAGAAGAUACUCAGAUGCAGCGGAAUUCAAGCAUGAAACUAAACAGCUUCUCAGAUAUUAUCUAUUCAGCCAUCUGCUUGACAGACAAUGGAUAACCUUCCAGAUUCAUGGAGCUGCAUCUGCCUUUUAAUCCAGUGGUAGUCUCCAUGGAAAUAAACAGGAGGCAUUACUUUUGGAGCAACCCAUGUAUAUGUGGCCCAGAACCAUUCCUCUUCACUCAAUACAGCUCAGACAAGCCAAAAGGUUGGAUAGCCAUGCUCUAAGGCUUCUGCGUAUCCAGAAGAGACUGCAGGGACUUCAAGUGAUCUUCGCCUCCUGCUGAACCAGAUAGGUAAAAAGGGAAAAGGUUAUAUUCUGAUAUCAUCAGGAGCAAUAUUGGGCAACUUAGGACCUCCUAUAUUUGGCCUAUGACUUUUGCAGGAAGAUCUCCAUCCUCCUCCAACAAGAAGUACACUGCCAUCCCUCCUAAAUCCAGGACUCGCAUCAAAGACAGACUGAUGGGAUACUGUUGUGACAAGAGGAGAGGACAGGAUUGCCCACUGGAUGAGGAGUUGUGGAGCAGUACUCAAGGAAAUCCCAUCGAUCAGACCGAUUCAGCAGAGAGCUUUUUUCUUCAUCAAUGACACCAGAUGCUGUACAACUCUCCACUGUGACAGCUUUGUACAAAUGGAAAUCCAUAGCAAAUGUGAGCAUAACCUGCAACAGAGUGAAGCCCAAACCAAACAAGUAAACCAACCAACCAAACAAGAAACCCACAUAUUUUUCAGCAAUGGGAGAGAAGGCGAGAAAAUAUUUACCUUACUCUCCCUCCGUGCUUGUUUCACUCACAUUAGAGUAGAUUUCCCCUUUCCGGAUUGUCUCGUGCAUAAAAUACACCCAAGUUUCAUGAGCUGUGUAUGUGCCUAUACAAGUAGAGUGCACAAGCUCUGCUGGCUGUGCUGGUGGGGAGUCCUGCAUCUGAGUAGUGGCUCUGGGUCAAAACUGUGGAGAGGGCACCAGAAAUUAAUAUAGAUCAUCUUUUUCAUAAUGUUAGAGAGUGCCACCAGUGUUUGGUGGCUCAGUUUGCUCCAUGAAACUGUGGUUGGGGCUGCUUUGCAUCCACCUGCUGAUUACUCCACUCUUCCCCUUUCCCCAUUAGGAGAGAAAAAGAUUAAAUUCCCAUUAAUUAAAAGCUAAUUGAUGACAAGAUGACAACACUAAUGUAGAAGCUCAUGGUCCUGAGUAACAAGAUGCUAAAUAUCACCAGUUCAAUUUAAAAAGACAGCAUCAAUGUUAGCCUGAUAACUAGAGAAACAAUCUUGCUAAUUGUGGGAAAUGACUCAAAGGCCUGGCUUGGUUGUCAUAGGAGGAUGGGAUGAGACCCCACAGCACCCAGUGGGUGCAACCCAGCCUGUUGUGCUCCCCCAAGCCCUGCACUGCCGUGGCACUGUGCACACCUGGCUGUGCGCAUGAAGCCAAAUCCCUGCGAGGACGACGGAUGCUGUGCAUAGGACUGGGGCCUGGCUGGCUCUGCUGGGGCAGGGCGUGCUCAGAAGCAGCCUGUCCUGAACAUACCAUGGGGGCCAGCCACAUUUGUAGGCUCUGGCACAGGCACUGGCAGCACAUCCAGUCUGCUUUGCUGGCCUGAGCAUGCAGCCCUCCUCCUGGGCAGGGACAGGCAUGGCAGCAGUGCCUAUGUUCUGUUGGAGCAGCUUUGCUUGAGCUCUCUCAAGCCCCCAAGGGGACGAAGCCUGUCUCACCAGAAGGGGAUGGGACAGCAAACUGCUGUGCUGCUGAUGGCCUCACACCCCUCCUGCCUCCGCCACCAGCUCUGGGAUCAGCACGUGCUGCAGCAGUUGUGCACCCAGCCCCCACAUCACGGCCCUGAGACAGAGAUCUGUUACCUGAUGGUAGCAGCUCUGAAGGGCUGAGAUUAAUUAAAGGAUUAACUGAAAUCCAUUCUUUUCUUGAAUUCUUCUUCUUCUUCUUCUUUUAUUUAUUUAUUUAUUUUCCCUGCUUCUUUUUGCUGUGAAUCUCCAUUCUUGGCUGGCAGUGCUUCCAGCAGUUGGGAACUGGAAUUAUGGAGCAGAGAAGGCUAAAUGCAAUCCAAACCCAGGAAGUCAGUUUGGAUCAUAAAUCUGCCAAGCCAUUAUGGAAUCACAGUAUGGUUUGAGUAGGAAGGGACCUUUGGUAGUCAUUGAAACCAACCCCCUGCCAUGGGCAGGGACAUCUUCCAUGAGAGCAGACUGCCCAGGGCUCCAUCCAGCCUGGCCCUGAGCACUGCCCGAGAUGGGGCACCCACAGCUUCCCUGUGCAACUUAUCAAGCCAUCCAAGGAAGCAGAGAGAAAGAAACCUAAGGGAAGGUGCCAGCAGAGCACUGCAAAUAAAAUCAAAGGAGAAGACAGAUUAAAUGUGUUCUGCGUAAUGCAGGCUUGGUUUCAUUCAAGUCCAUUUUGUAAGCAAGAUUUCAUGUUUCCUCUGAGUCUAAAAAUUAAAGCUUGAUGGAGCUAGUCUGGGUGAGACUUGUGGCUUUCUUCAUGAUUUUAUUGUGCUAAAAAUGAUCAUAAAACCGCAAGAACACCUUUUUCAGCAGAACUGCCUCUCUUUAGAAGACCCAUUACAGCACAUGUAAUAACAGAGCCGUGCAUCAGCUCUGCCGUAGGACCUGAGAAGAGGCCUGUGCUGGGACAAAACGGACCCACAGAGCUGAGCUCUGCUGUGAAGUGGGAGCACAGAGGCCCUCAGCACUCUCUGCUUCACCUGAGAAGUAUUCUGGGGGCAGCCAUGCAGAAAGAGGAGUGCUGAGCACCUGCAGGCCCCCCCUAAGGACAGAUCUCUGCAGACAGACCAAGGGAGGAUCAUCUAUCCUGCACUCAGCAGGCACAACGAUGCUGGGUCCUACCAGGAAAUGUGCUCUGACACACAGCAGCAACAAGGUUUGAACACUUUUUCCUUCGUUUCUGGGGAUUUGUGACUCAUGCCAGGAGCUGAGAGUGGAUGGAAAGUGGGGUGCUGUGCUUUCGCUGGUCCAUUCGGGCAGCUUCUGAUGGCUGUGGGAAUUAUCACGUACUGCUUUCGUGGUAGCACUGCGUAAAUGUCAAAUAGUUAUAUAUUAUUUUAUAAAUAUCCUUCAGAGACAGGAUUGAAAGUGGCUUCAGAGCUGUUCCCCGAGGGAUUUGGUCACUGUCUUACAGACAAGAAAAGAACUGCUGGGCUGGGACUUUGCCAUGACCAGGCAGCACCCCUGGGACUCUCGCAAGCUGCUCUGAUCUAAUCCUCAUGAAGCCUGACCCUUCCUUUCAAAUGAAACCUAAUCCAUCACCCCCUGAUUGUGCAAAACAUUAUCCGCUGACAAAUGCGGUGAUAGCGGUGCUAAUAGAAGCCUGAUGGAUGGCCAGGGCUGGGACUGCAGCUCUCCUGCCCAGCGACUCCUACCUGAGCUUCAGCAUCUGUGAGCAGGAGCUGGGAGAAGAGCAGUUUUUCUGGAGCUGCCCCAUACAGCCCAGCAUUUUGGCCGGUCUGUGCCAUGCCCUCCCUUCCCAGGUCUGCUAUGGGAAGGACUGCAGCCAGGCAGGGCUGCCUUCAGCUGCUGAGCUCCAAGCUCUGUUGUUUUCAUCCAGCCCAGCACGAAGGCGUAAGCUUUCCUAUUAGCUUUUAUUGUUAUUGUUAUUAUCUAAAUCGUGCAAGAAAAAGCAUUCACUGACCUAGUCUGCAAUAAACUAUAAGUGGUUCUGAAGACCAUGAAGAUGGACAACACGAGGCAGAAGUGCUGCACGCUCUGUUGAGUUUUUCAUUAGGAUUUUUCUCUCCCCCUGUCUAUUUCUCACACCCACUGGAUUAUGAAUUUACAUGCAUUAUAAUGAGAAUAACUACAAUCAUGAUAGAUAGGAUUUUUUUUUUUUAAAUCUUUAUGUAAAAAGCUACGGAACAUAAGCGAGCUGUCGAAGUUUGAAGGAAUCAGCCCCGUUUUGGUCAUACACUUUCAUAUUUCUUGUUUUGGGGAUGCAGAGUGAGUCUGGGCUGCAAUCUAAAUUCUGCGGGGAGUUGUGGUUGACGGAAAUAAACCAUGUGUUGAGGGUGCCAUGUGAGCUGAACAUAAACAUGAAUUAAACCCUGCAACUGUGAAGGAACCAGGACUGCUGCAAAACUGGUGCUAAAAACAUAAAUUUAAAGCCUAAAAGAAUGGAUUGGAAGCCGGUUUAAUUGCCUCAAUAAAGGGGUAACAUGAAAGUUAUGGGUGUCAGAGCAGAUUAAAUGUACCUCAGAAAUCAGAAUAUGCUGUUGAUGCAUGAUGGAUGAAUGACAGAAGCCUGAAAGAGGCUAUUACAUCGACACAGUUGUAUAGAAAAUGUGGUUUAGUGGUUAAAAAGGGUGAGUGGAAGGCAGGGGCUCUUGCUGGGGCACAGCAGCUCCUUGCAUUGCAGUGUGAGCUUGGGCUGAAGCUUCUUUGUUGGGUUUGUUGAGUGGGAGCACCUUGCUCAGUGCCUGGGUGCUGUGCAACCUUGUUAGUAGGGCUGGAAAUCAACCUGCUCUUUGGAACGCAUCAUAUGCUAGUUAGGGCACUCAGUGCUAACACCCUUCUGUUGGCAAUGGAGCACAGGCUGGGUGUCCCCACACAGCACUGAACGUAGAUGUGCAUGUGAGACAGCAGAUAGCUCACCUAGCUUUGGGCACCUACACCUGCAUUCAGCACUUAGGCUCCUUUUGCAGUCAACAAGGAAAAUACUCCCAGCCAUUUCUGGACUGCAGUUCAUCUCACUGCUUUUAGACCUAAGCAUGGCUAUGAGAGGGGAAACCGCUAAGGAAUGGCUGCAUGGGUUUCCCAAGAGGGCACACCAAUAAGUAUAUUAGGGCAUACAGUGGAGACAUCAGUAUUGACAUGUGGGGCUAUGCCAGUGUGGUGAGACGCAGCAGAUAGGCUGAAUUCAGCUGCGUGUAGAUGAGUGCAGGACAGUGCUUGCCCACAGGGAUCCUGCUCUGCCUGCACUGUGAAUGAAUGAAAAAAUGGCUCAUGCAAGCACUGCAUGCCGAAAUCAUUGCAGGCACUUCCUCGGUGUUGCAAAACAGGAGCCGUGACUGUGGGGCUCCUGCGGUCUGUCUGCAGGUGAAGGAUGGCUGUCAGCACUGUCUGCAGCGGCUGCGGCGCAGUGGCACUUAGUCGAUAGGAGGUGACAAGGGCUCGCGGAAGGGAUGGAGUGUCACCACGCUGGCAGGCAGAGGCAGACAAACGAGAGGCUUUGAGACAAAGUGCGGUUGCCAAAUUCAUAGCGAUUUUUCUAAUAAGGUUGUGGCCAGCAGCAGGAGCACUGGGAAGGACUUGUGCCACGCAAAAAAAAAAAAAAAGCUUCCGUGCUAUCGCCCAUUUCCAGAAGGGGAGCGCUUUGGCCCAGCGCUGAUUUUCCAGGAAAAAAAGAAAACAAAUUUCCCUCCCAGCAGAAGAAUCACAGAAUGGCCCAGGCUGGAAGGGACCUCAAGGAUCAUGAAGCUCCGACCCCCCCGCCACAGGCAGGGCCACCAACCUCCCCCUUUAAUCCCAGCCCAGGCUGCCCAGGGCCCCAUGCAACCUGGCCUUGAACACCUCCAGGGAUGGGGCAUCCACAGCCUCUCUGAGCAGCUGUUCCAGCACCUCACCACUCUCAUAGUAAAGAACUUACCCCUGACAUCCAAUGUAAAUCUUCUCUCCUUCAACUUAAAACCAUUUCCCCUUGUCCUGCUGUUAUCUAUCCUUUCAAGAGUUGAAAAGAGCACACCUACAAAACCAGGUGAGUCUGAAUGUGCAUUGGUGGCUCAGAAACAAAUGGUGAUGUGAUGAGGAGGAUCAUACCACUUGGAUGGACCAAACCACACACAGCUGCAGGGCACCAGCACCAGGAAAUGCUGACUGGUGUUUGCCACAAAUGCACCACAUCACUUCACCUGCAUUAUUUAAGCUGUGAAUGCCUCAGGCUCUCUGAGGUAGAAGAAUAUAUGUGUGCUGCUUUACCCACAGUUUGGAGGAGCUGCAGGGUUUAAUUGGUGUUACGGAAGCAUUUGUGUAGUGGCAAGAUCAAAACCUGAUGCAGUGUGAGAGCCAAAGUUCAUUCUGAUCGUGUUUGCUGUACAACUCCUGGUACUUCCAAACCAAGGGCUCCCAGAGGAGGCUGCAUUGCAGACUGCUGGUUUUUGUAGCCCAAAUACAGCAGCUCCUUCUGGCUACAGCAUGUCGGUGAGUUAUACAGGUUUGGAUGCAGCUUAACUUCAGAAUGGGCACAAAUGGCCUAAGAGCAAGGCAGUGUCUGCAGGCAGGCAAGGUCAGAUAAGGAAAGAUCAUAGAAUCGCUAAGGUUGGAAAAGACCCACAGGAUCAUCCAGUCCAACCAUUCACCCAUCACCAAUGGUUCUCGCUAAACCAUGUCCCUCAACACCACAUCCAAACGUUCUUUGAACACCUCCAGGGUCGGUGACUCCACCACCUCUCUGGGCAGCCCAUUCCAGUGCCUGACCACCCU
ensembl:lncRNA